rnacentral:rRNA from 1 species
AUUGAACGCUGGCGGCAUGCCUUACACAUGCAAGUCGAACGGUAACAGGUCUUCGGAUGCUGACGAGUGGCGAACGGGUGAGUAAUACAUCGGAACGUGCCCGAUCGUGGGGGAUAACGAGGCGAAAGCUUUGCUAAUACCGCAUACGAUCUACGGAUGAAAGCGGGGGAUCUUCGGACCUCGCGCGGACGGAGCGGCCGAUGGCAGAUUAGGUAGUUGGUGGGAUAAAAGCUUACCAAGCCGACGAUCUGUAGCUGGUCUGAGAGGAUGAUCAGCCACACUGGGACUGAGACACGGCCCAGACUCCUACGGGAGGCAGCAGUGGGGAAUUUUGGACAAAGGGCGAAAGCCUGAUCCAGCCAUGCCGCGUGCAGGAUGAAGGCCCUCGGGUUGUAAACUGCUUUUGUACGGAACGAAAAGCCUCUUUCUAAUAAAGAGGGGUCAUGACGGUACCGUAAGAAUAAGCACCGGCUAACUACGUG